AAGAACCAGCUGUUCUUAUUUAUAGAGUAACACUCAAUGCUGCGAAAUGGGUCGCCUGAUCCUCCUCUGCCACCGACACAGAACAGCACACCUGAAGGAGACAAAGGAGGUUUCCAGAGAGCUGGCAGAGAAAAUAGAGAUAAAAUUCUACAGCAGAAUAGACGGAAGGACUCUGGGUGUUCAUCCAAGUGACCCUGUGAUGCCAUUACAGGUUUCUCUCAGCAAUGAACACUUAAGAAACCUAGGGGAUUAAACUGCACACUCCUUUCGGAGCCUACAGAAACCGAGUAACAUAACUCGAUGCUGAUAUUCCCAAGGCCCAACCUGCUUGCACUGUCAAUAACCGUGAAUACAAGACGAAGCACCAACUGCUAUAAACAUUUUUCUUCUUAAAAUCCUCCUCAGUAAAAGCAGCUUACACAGAAGCAAAUCAGUGAUGCCCGCCCUACCUGUGCGAGAAUUUCAUCCAGCCACGUGGCAUGAUGCUGCGGAUUGGCUAGCAGCCACUUGAUAGCAGCACUGUAAACCUGCUUUUCGUUUUCAAUGUUCAGGUCGCUGGAGGACAACAGUUUAUGGAGGUGCUGAGGUGAGACACUCACAAAGUCUUCACAUUCCACCACCUCUGUGAAAUGUUCACAAGCGUACUGGUCGGCCAUGUCCAUCAGGUCAAUGCGGUUGUGGCUCUCUGCAAAUGACCUGACUGCCAGGCAGUUGGAGGGAUGGAAGUGCAGCUUCAUGUAUUCGCAGCACGCCUUUGCUACCAGUUCCACCUGAAGAAUGCAAGCAGCAUACAGGAGUGGCUGGACAUUAUCCACUGUCAGCGUCAGCCGGGAGGAGUAGACAAACUUCACGAGGUCUUCUAUCGCAUCGCCAUCAAAGUCCCUGAUCUCAAUCAACGUCUGCUUGGCUUCAGCCAUUUCUGAAAGAAACAUGGCUCUGAAGUAAGGUAUAACACAUGCCAGCACCAGUUUGUGGCAGGAGAUGAGCUUUGUACCAACCUGAGAAAAAGAGAACAAAACUGUUUAACUGAAACAUUAGUUUCAGUAAUUUUCUUCCAGCUAUAAGAGACAGCUAAGCUGGAAAGGUAGACUUCUGGGCCCAAUAUACAUUGAGCUUCUGUAUUUUGCUGAAACAAAUGAACUCUGUCUCCCUCACACUGCUGACGUUAGACCAGGGCAUCCCAAGCAGAUUUCACUUGUAACCUGACCACCAGAGUAGGACAAGGUUGUAGCAGAAAGAAGCAGUACUAAGAAACUAAGAAAUACUUAAUGUUUGUAGGUGCUGGCAGCCACAGCUGCAAAUGCUAGUUAUAAAUUUCCUGUGAUCAUGAUGUAAGUAAUAAAAAGCUGAGCUGAAAAGAAUGCAUUUAAAAUAACACUGUGCAAGAAUAACAAAACUGGUUUCCUCCUUUUUGUUUCCUCUUUGAUCAGUUGUAGAACAAUGUGAUUGAGGGUUUUUUUAUUUCCCAGGAGAACACUGAAAGUUAGAUUUGUUACAGAAAUCCUGUUUGCCCACAAAAGAUCUAGCACAGAAACACAGAAUGCAAAACUACGGACAAAAUUUGGGAUCAAAGUGUAUGAACAGAGAGGCUGCAAGGAGCUGGAAGCACACAGAAAUGACAUAGUAGAAAAUAAAUCAACCAUGAGAACUUCCUUACAGGACAAACUGGGUGAGGUGAGUCAUGUACUUGCUCUCUUGGAUUGUCAGUAUCUUAAUUGCUUACAUUUUAGUUGUGACCUUCGUAAAUGACGAGAAAUCUAAGAGCUUAUGUAGAAAUGCCUCAAACAUUCUGUUGCUUCCAUACCCCUGCACAAACUCACUGCCAUCUCCAACGCAUUUAUAACUUAGUCUUCAGAUUGUUAAACACAAUGAAUGUGGGUGGUCUUUGUCACCUUCAGUGUAACAUCGCAGAGCUCUCCAGCCUCAAAGAAGUGAAGAAGAGAGCUGUGGAAAUCUUUCCAAGCCUCGUUUGCUUCGAAUACAAAGAUAUCAUCUUCACCAUCACCGCUGGAAGAUCGAGUUUGCUGCUGCUGUGGUCGCCUUUUUCCCUUCACUGGAUGUUGUUUUGCCUGCUCUGGGACCAUGGAUUCUGAAGCCAUUGGUUGUUUCGUCUUUUGCAGCGUGAACUGUCAAAUAUUCCCACCAAGACAAAGUCCAGCCCAUGAGGAGUCAGUCCUGAAAUGUAGCUAAGUUCUUUUCAUCUUCCUAUCUAAAAGCACACACACACAAAAAAAAAGACAGAGGAGAUAUCAAGUACUGUCAGUAUCCACCAUCAGACUACAUUCUAAAAUUACUACCUCUGAUCUUAUUCAGGGGAGCGGGAAGAGGGAGAGGGGAAAAGAGACCCACAGCAAAUCAUAUGCAGGUACCUUUGGGAAAAGCCUUUAUGAACUUGCUCCCCACAGUUGUUGAAAAAAGAUAUGAAGGAGGAAAGGCAGUGACGUGUCUUCUGCCAUUCCUCACCGAACAUCUGUGGAUGGCAGAUGAGCAGAAUGCCCACGGAUCACAGGCAGAUGGGCUUCUCUCCUCAUCUCAUCAUGGCUGCCAGAGACAGAGUGCUGAUUUGACCCCAACAGGAUGCCCAUAUAAAAUGAAGCUGCUGGAGAUGGUCUGAGCAAUCAUCUGGAUGAAAAGAGCACAGAUGUGGACUGAUACAUUUAGUACUGGUUCUGCAGGAGCAGAAACUGGAGGCCUUGGUCCCCUCACACAGAGGAAAUCAGUUACAGACACCACACGUACCAGGAAACUCUCAGUAUAAAUCAUGGCAGUAUCAACUAAAGGGGAUGGGAGCAUCAGCCACAAGCAGGACAGGAAUGUCACUCGUGAAACGAAGGAAGGAAACAAGGAAAGGAUCCUCCCCUGUGACACUGACCUGGGAGAGGAUUGUGCUCCUGCCUCCGCUGCCACAAGCAGAAAGAUGCAUCCAUGAUACAAGAAACAAAAGGGCUCUGUAACAACCGCAGUGAGGAAGUGCUCAAAUGAGGGGUUCUGUGACACAGGUAGAUCCAGCGCUUGUUUAUCGGUCCCAGUACUGAAGUCAGAAAAAUAAGAAGCAGCCCAAUGUCCAGGAGAAUUAAAGAUACAGAAAGAGCGGUGAUGCAGUGACACAGGCUGCCCAGGAAGAAGGUGCAGUCACUGUCCUUGGAGGUGUUCAAGA